rnacentral:tRNA from 1 species
GCCCUAGUAGCUUAAUGUUAAAAGCGUCGGUCUUGUAAUCCGAAGAUCGGAGAUUAAAUUCCUCCCUAGCGCC